rnacentral:rRNA from 1 species
AUCCUGGCUCAGGAUGAACGCUAGCUACAGGCUUAACACAUGCAAGUCGAGGGGCAGCAUUAUCGAAGCUUGCUUUGAUAGAUGGCGACCGGCGCACGGGUGCGUAACACGUAUCCAAUCUACCCAUGGCUCGGGAAUAGCCUUUCGAAAGAAAGAUUAAUGCCCGAUGGUCUUACCUUGAGACAUCUCUUGGCAAGUAAAGAUUUAUCGGCGAUGGAUGAGGAUGCGUCCGAUUAGGUAGUAGGCGGGGUAACGGCCCACCUAGCCGACGAUCGGUAGGGGUUCUGAGAGGAAGGUCCCCCACAUUGGAACUGAGACACGGUCCAAACUCCUACGGGAGGCAGCAGUGAGGAAUAUUGGUCAAUGGGCGCGAGCCUGAACCAGCCAAGUAGCGUGAAGGAUGACUGCCCUAUGGGUUGUAAACUUCUUUUGUUAGGGAAUAAAGUGCCCCACGUGUGGGGUUUUGCAUGUACCUUACGAAUAAGCAUCGGCUAAUUCCGUGCC